CCUUCGGGGGGCUGCAGUGGGGAAUAUAGGACAAUGGGGGCAACCCUGAUCCAGCCAUGCCGCGUGUGUGAAGAAGGCCCUCGGGUUGUAAAGCACUUUCAGUGAGGAAGAACGCCUGGUGGUUAAUACCCAUCAGGAAAGACAUCACUCACAGAAGAAGCACCGGCUAACUCCGUGCCAGCAGCCGCGGUAAUACGGAGGGUGCGAGCGUUAAUCGGAAUUACUGGGCGUAAAGCGCGCGUAGGUGGCUUGAUAAGCCGGUUGUGAAAGCCCCGGGCUCAACCUGGGAACGGCAUCCGGAACUGUCAAGCUAGAGUGCAGGAGAGGAAGGUAGAAUUCCCGGUGUAGCGGUGAAAUGCGUAGAGAUCGGGAGGAAUACCAGUGGCGAAGGCGGCCUUCUGGACUGACACUGACACUGAGGUGCGAAAGCGUGGGUAGCAAACAGGAUUAGAUACCCCGGUAGUC
rnacentral:rRNA from 1 species